UUUCUCAACCCUUGCAGUUGCCCCCAUACACCCCCCUCUCAACACAAAUACGCACACACCCUAUCUCCUGCCCGUAGCUUCUCUUUUUGGCCGCCAUCUUCUUUAGCUCCGUUCACCUCUAUAACCCUUCUCUGACUUACCCAUCUCCGUCGCCCUUGUGUUAAAAUGGAAGUUGAAAGCUGUAAAAUUAAUGAUUCCUUCUUUUGGAUCUGGUACGAUUCCAGGUUGUUCUUCAUGGGAAGGUAUAGAGUUUUGUAAAGUUGUUACUUUAUCUAGUUUGCAGUUGCAUUGGUUCAUGGAUUCUAUCUCAGAGCUUCUUCAUGGUCCAUUCAAUCGUCUUCUCUUAAGAAACAGUCGCAACGGCUCAGGAGGUCGAUGAUACAUUCAUGUUCCAAUGGGAGUUUCAAUUCAAGGCUGGCAUUCUUUUUUGGGAGUGGUAUCUGGAUUCUUGAAGAAAAGAGAGAUAUUAUUUCAGCAGAUCCAUCUACAUUCCUCAUUGAUUCCUUUGCAGGCAAUUAAGAACAUUUCAGGGCCUUCUAAGUCAAGAGAUAAGAGCAUAAGUUAUGUGGAAGCUGUGAAGGAUAUUAGGUAGCCAUAGUCCUCUGUUUUGGUAAUGGAAAAACAGAGCAUGGUAUCCUUUUGGGUUCGAAAAAAUUCUAAAGUGCUCAAGGAAGAUUUUAACAACCUAUGGGUCAUCUCUGUUUUAUAUAUGUUUUUUGAAACAGAGACAAGCUCUUUUUUAAUAUAAAACUCGAAGUACAAGAUAAUUAUACAAUGAGAAAAUUAGAGAAGCCUAAAAAAUCAAGAGGCGCGGCCGGAUAUCUCAACUAGGUUGACACCCCCUUAGCGCUAUCACCAUAUCCCAUAAAAACAUCUAAAAGAACAUAUAACUACCAAUUAUACCAGAAAAGAAACAGCCAAAGGAAAGCAAAUACAAAACAGAAAGUAAAGAAAGAACACGGGAAAAUAAAACAGUUUCAAAAAAGACCCACAACUACUAAACUCCUAUAGCUAACAAAACUAAAUAGGAGGUCUUCUGACUUGCAACCCAAGUUGGCAGCUGUGGACAGCAACUCACUAUCAUCCACUUUAUAACCCCACACAAGAACGAUUUGUUCCAAUUCACUUUCUGACCGGAACAUUAUUUUUUCUUGCAUGUUAGAAUUUUCUUGUAGCAUCGGUUAUUGUAGUGUUUUUCAAUGUUUUGUUUUGAUGUAUUGUUCUGUUUUGUUGCUGGUAGAACUUAAUUCGGUGUUUCUUCCUUGUUAUUUGGGGUACUCUUAGAUGUUUUGUUCUAUUGCUUUCUAG